rnacentral:rRNA from 1 species
GACGAACGCUUGCGACGUGCCUAAGAAAUGCAAGUCGAACGGGGGCUUCGGCCCUAGUGGCGAACGGUCGCGUAACACGUGGGCAAUCUGCCCUAAAGUGGGGGAUAACGGGGGGAAACUUCCGCUAAUACCGCAUGUGGUCUAGAAAGGCAUCUUUCCAAGACUAAAGGAGCAAUCCGCUUUAGGAUGAGCCCGCGGCCUAUCAGCUAGUUGGUGGGGUAACGGCCUACCAAGGCUACGACGGGUAGCUGGUCUGAGAGGACGAUCAGCCACACUG